UACUGGUGAUGAGGACAUUGAGCAAGCAGCAACUUAAAUCGUUCCUAAGCUUCAUGAAUGGUUUCUCUCUCCAUUUGAGCAAAUGAGCAAAUCUUAUUCCUUAAAUC